rnacentral:lncRNA from 1 species
UUAUUUAUGUGGGACGCAUAUAAACACAGUGGGUGUUUUUGUGCGUACCUCACAAUAAUUGGAAGCAAGAAACCCUAGCACUCCCCUCUUGAAGUAACGACAACCUUUCUAGUCGAUGUUCUCCUACCUUCGAAACGUCAUCUUCCGCAUCCUUGUAUUCGGUUAUUGAUCCUUGUGUAUGUGGAACUUGCUGUCUGGGAUGCUGGAGUGGUCAUGGGUCGAGAUACAUAGAAUCGCGAGACGGGUUAAUGGUUACAAUACAUAUGGUUUAUGAAACACAUAACUAAUGAUUUAUGCUUCCGCUGAAUACGAUGGUUUGUAAUUAUUGUUUUGUA